rnacentral:rRNA from 1 species
UACGAAGGUCCCAAGCGUUAUCCGGAUUUAUUGGGUUUAAAGGGUGCGUAGGCGGGUUAUUAAGUCAGUGGUGAAAGCCUACAGCUUAACUGUAGAAUUGCCAUUGAUACUGGUGAUCUUGAGUAUGAUUGAGGUGGGCGGAAUGUGUCAUGUAGCGGUGAAAUGCUUAGAUAUGACACAGAACACCGAUUGCGAAGGCAGCUCACUAAGUCAUAACUGACGCUGAUGCACGAAAGCGUGGGGAGCAAACAGG